CCUACGGGAGGCAGCAGUGAGGAAUAUUGGUCAAUGGGCGCGAGCCUGAACCAGCCAAGUAGCGUGAAGGAUGACUGCCCUACGGGUUGUAAACUUCUUUUAUAAAGGAAUAAAGUGAGGCACGUGUGCCUUUUUGUAUGUACUUUAUGAAUAAGGAUCGGCUAACUCCGUGCCAGCAGCCGCGGUAAUACGGAGGAUGCGAGCGUUAUCCGGAUUUAUUGGGUUUAAAGGGUGCGCAGGCGGAGGCACAAGUCAGCGGUAAAAUCGCGGGGCUCAACCCCGCUCCGCCGUUGAAACUGUGUCCCUUGAGUGCGCGAAGGGUAGGCGGAAUGCGUGGUGUAGCGGUGAAAUGCAUAGAUAUCACGCAGAACUCCGAUCGCGAAGGCAGCCUACCGGCGCGCAACUGACGCUCAUGCACGAAAGCGUGGGUAUCGAACAGGAUUAGAUACCCUAGUAGUC
rnacentral:rRNA from 1 species